rnacentral:misc_RNA from 1 species
CUUAUAAACUAUCACGACGCCCAAAAAGUCGUGGCUUGGGUUUUGCCAGCUGGCGUGAUCUCCUCUAUGAGUAAUCAUGUGAGGUGCCAGAUCUAUGGCGUUUCCCUAAUGUAUCCGGAUGCACCCUUGUCUUGGCAGAAAGCCGUGGUGAGGUGCAGUGGCGGAAUCGUGGUUUAAUAAUCGGGUUGGUACUCAGUUGUCAGUGUGUUCGGCGAUCCCCCAGUCGGCACACUCAUGAUUUCUGGGAUAAUUCCAUACCAGGCACGUUCCGUUACUGUUACUUUGUCAUUGGUUUGAUGCUGAACUUGGUCAUGUGUCUGAUGCUAUUUCAUAUAACGACGGUACCCUUCGUGGUCUGUCUUC